AUUCAAGUCAAAGAGAGGAGCACUGCGUUACUACUGCCUUGAUUACACUCUCCAAGUGUUGAACCUCCUGCCUUAUGUAAAUGUUUAUACAUCUGGUAAGGGUAAAGAUUCACUUGCUGUGAAUAGCUCAGGAUGUUUAAAAAGUGUUGGUUGGAUUUUUCUUACCUUUUUCUGGAAAUAAUUUGCAAUAGAUAAGAUGGUUUUUCUAGGUUAUAUUUAGUUAACCCAACUUAAGCCACUUUAUAACUGCUGCAUCUAGCCACUUCUUGUGUGUAUGCUUACUUUAUUUUCAAAAAUAUGUAAUGUCAAGGUAUGAAAUACCAAUGUUUCAUAUACUAUUUAGCUGAGGUUUUCAGUUCUUAUGACAAAUGGGCUGAUUUCUCUCCUAGAUCCUGAGGGGAUUAUAUUGUAUGUCCUGAUUUUUCCUCUUUUUGAGGCAAAGAUAGCACUAGUCAUAGCAGCAGUUGCUUCUAAUGAUUUAGAGUUAUAGUAAAAUCUGUUGGAACGAAUUGAAGGACAGUAUUGUGGCAUGGUUAUGAAUCUUCCUGGGGAAGCUGGCUGCAGCCUUUGGGUGGGUCUUUCUCACCCACUACUUCCCCCCCGCUCUGCUUUGUAAAUCAAACUGCAUGGUUUUUUUCCAAAGCAAAUUCCUGAUUUUUGGAAAGGAAUCAAAUAGUUUAGUUUUGCCUAAAACUGACACAUUUAAACACAUUUCAAAUAUAUGUGAAUUUGUAAUUUAAACAAAACAAACUCGAUGUGCUUUAAAGAGGCCAAUCUAUAUUUUCAGAAAACUCUUAUUAUCGGUAAUUUUCCAUCUCAGUUUACCUUGAUAUUUAAAUCAGUUCAUCAUGAUUUUCAGUGAAAAUAACUGAGAAAAAGGCAUCCAUAAAGGCUAAGAGUAAAUCCAUAUUCAUAGCUCUGUAUUCCUCAUCCAAGAUUCCUUAUUAAGUGAUUACAGGAGCAGUUUUCUGUCUUUCAAGUCCAUUUCUGCAGAAGAAUUUGAAUCACCACUGGAAUGAAUGUGGUAACGGGAGUAGUUCUGUCAACAAUAUGUGACACAAGGAAGGGAGUGCAGAAACUGGGCUGUCUGGACUACGGUUUUGGAUGAGGUUUGGGAUUUUUGUUGUUGCCAGAAAACUCAAAAGUUCAAAGAGAGUAGAAAAGCAUAUUGAUUAGCUCUGGACUGGUCAAAGACUAGAUUUAUAUCUGAGCUUAACUAAUGUUUUACACAUGGUCUCCUUUGUAUUUUAAAAUUUUUGUACCCCUGGUUAGUUAAAGGCAAGGACCAGCUGAAAGCAAUUCCUCUUCUUGUCUUCUCUCCUCCAAAUCAAGGCCAUUUAGUUGGUAGGUAGAUAUUAAAUCUCUAGGAACAAAGAGGAAUGUUACUGGCCCAAAUGUCCCAUGAUCCCUGAAGUUCAUGUUGGUGCCAGAAGAGCUUCAUGGCUUAUUUUUCUCCCUAAAUCUUCUACUCCAGAGGCCACAUUUGCAGGGAUAUCUGGAGAACUGAGAUGAACACUUGCCUCUCUGCCAAUUCAUCUUUCUUUUGGCCAGUUUAUCAAGGAUAUUUGGAUCUGCUGAUGCACAUUUCAGCCCCAUCAGUUAAUUUUCAUUACAAAAUUAUGUUGCUAACAUUAUCAAGAGCAUUGUGCCAAGCACUUUACACAUAUUACCUUAUUUAUUCCUCGUGAUACCCAUAUUACAGGUGAGGAAACUGAGGCUCAGGCAGGUCACGUAACUUGCCCAAGUCCUCAAGGCCAGGAUCCAAAAUACAGACAGUUUAACCUCGAGCAUGUGCUCUUAACCACUAUAGUAUUCUGCUUCCCUUAUCCAUAGAUUCUUUCAGGACUUGGGAACUAAAGGAGUUUGGGAAAGAGACAAGGACAUGGACUUUCUAAUAAACUUCCUUUAAAGCUUCAUUAGUUAUACAUCCAUUCAACAAUAAUCCACUCCUCUUCAACUCUUCUAGAAGCUUACUUUCAAUUUAAAGUCACAGUAUCACUUUACAGCAGACCCCUCUGCCUGGUAAG
rnacentral:lncRNA from 1 species